rnacentral:rRNA from 1 species
GAUGAACGCUGGCGGCGUGCCUAAUACAUGCAAGUCGAGCGAACAGACGAGGAGCUUGCUCCUCUGACGUUAGCGGCGGACGGGUGAGUAACACGUGGAUAACCUACCUAUAAGACUGGGAUAACUUCGGGAAACCGGAGCUAAUACCGGAUAAUAUAUUGAACCGCAUGGUUCAAUAGUGAAAGACGGUUUUGCUGUCACUUAUAGAUGGAUCCGCGCCGCAUUAGCUAGUUGGUAAGGAAACGGCUUACCAAGGCAACGAUGCGUAGCCGACCUGAGAGGGUGAUCGGCCACACGGGAACGGAGACACGGUCCAGACUCCUACGGGAGGCACCAGUAGGGAAUCUUCCGCAAUGGGCGAAAGCCUGACGGAGCAACGCCGCGUGAGUGAUGAAGGUCUUCGGAUCGUAAAACUCUGUUAUUAGGGAAGAACAAAUGUGUAAGUAACUAUGCACGUCUUGACGGUACCUAAUCAGAAAGCCACGGCUAACUACGUG